rnacentral:lncRNA from 1 species
GACAAAUGGUUUUAAAGGCUGUAAAUUGAAGCUGCAAAAAACAAAGAGCAUCACAUGCUGAAAACAAAAAGAAAACCAAAUUGUAAGCGUAGACAGAGCAGGCAAAACAUAAAAGAAACCAAAAUUUGAAAAAUUGUUCCAUGCGGACACCAAAUGUUUCAAAAGGUUAUCAAAACGGAACAAAAUUGGUUAAUUUGUUAUGUAAGCAAAGCAAAGAAAGGAGUUGGAUUGAAGCUGAUUUAAGGCUUUUUCUGACUUGGCCAACCUAUGUGGCUAGGGCUUCAAACACUAAAACCCUGUACAAUGCACAUAAAAGUAACCACCGCCGGGUAAGCAAACAUGAGUUACUUUCAUCAAAAAUUAAAACUAAAAACAUAAACUUCUGUUGAUCCUAAAAACUACCAAACUUACGUGGCGCGCAGGCCGAGUAAUCUAUAAGCUAACUACGUCCUUCAGUGAAUGCGGGGCGUGCCAACUCGUCGGCCGAGCUCGGCCGAGGAGUAAAAUUUGUUGAUGUUGCGUUGGGUGCGCGGCUGACUUCUGCGUCUUGCGAUUGCGACCGAGGAAGGAACACGUCUCGGCCUCGUGGGUUCUCGAACCUGAAGACAAUGCUACUAUUCUUACGAAGUUCACGAAUCACCGUCGUCGGAUUCGGUCACAGUGAUGUUAUUCGUCAGAGUAAACUCAUGCCGAAUCGACACCAAAGUGUAAGGGCACAAAUACUCAAAGCGAAUAUAAGUCUUAAUAGUGAACGUGGUUCGACCGUCUGAAUGCCGAACUCUAAAUCCCACUUGAGAGUAUCCAAUCAUAAAAUAACUCGGCGUGCAAUGCGUCGAGAAUGCGUCGAGCUCAGUAAGCUGUAACACCUCACUUCGCCGAGAAGGCUAAUGAGAUGACCUCGAUCAAUAAGGAUUCGGAAAUCCUUCUCGACCGAGACUUGGAUAGGUAACCAACCGCCCUCGCCGCAGUGCUGUUGAUGCCAACGGAAGAUGCUGCGAGAUCGGCUGAUUCUACGGCGACAGAGCUAUCCAUGCUGACUUAAGAUAUCACUGGUUGCUUUCACAGUGUUGUUAAUGCCAACGGAAGAUGUGUCAGCGAAAAGAGAAAAUAAAAAUCUCAAAGUUGUUGAGAAAGUUUGCGCAGGGCAGUUGUGUGUUGAAUUGGAGGGGCUUUUUCUGUCGUAUAGCAUCUUGUAUUUAUAGCAUUUUGUACUUGCUUGGCACGGCUGGAUAACUGUGUAAAGUCCGACUGCAACUCUGACUCUGUAAAAUUGAUCCGUGUGAAAUGCCAAAGCCUAUCCUCUAGCUUUUGUGACUUUUCAAACCCUAUAAAAGCCUAUCCAAAUAAAAGUCUUCUUAUCAUCAUAGCCUAGCUUACCUAGACUCAUUGUCUUAUCCAUCAUGUAUAUUUCCCCUGACAAAGACCACAUGCAUGCAUGAUGAUCCCUUCAUCAGCUUAAACUCUAAAAAACAAUUGAUGAAAUUCAUCAUCAUAUCUCAAGACAAGGCUACGUGCUUCAACCCUGUCCAUGAAUCCAAAGUCCAUUUGAAUUGUACCAUCCACAUCGAACAUAUCACAUAUUAAGUUUAAAUAUCCUAGUUAUUAUUAAGAGAUAAUAUUAUGAUUAAAAUCACAAUAUCAUUCCUCAAUACUAAGAAUCGUUUUAAUCACUUUAUCAUCCACCGGCCUAAAAUCCUGCUCAUUCAAGGGUCUCGAUUGCACGGGCCGAUGGUGUAAAAUCGGGUCCAAACAACUUCAAACAAGCAAAAUCUGACAACUAGCAUAUCAAUCCAAAAUAAAAACUUCCACCACCAACAGCAUAAACAAAUUUAAAACCACAAUUAAAACUAAUGUUGACUGUCAUCCUCUCCAUGUUUGUGUUCCCUCUGCCGGAUAAAAGCGACGAAGACAAAGCUUUCCAAAAUUCUAAUAACUCUACAUAUUAUCAAUUUCCCAACAAAACACAUAGGUUCCAGCACUAAUAGCAUAAAAAGUUUUAAAAUUCUUCCUCUCCCUGUUCUUAAGACAGAAAGACAAAGCUUUCCAAAAUUCCAACGAAUCCUCUCAUUUCUUCCCAAAAAUUAUAAGUCCAUUUUAAUCCUACAAUUAUUAAUGCAUUUCGAAACUGGAAAAAAGCAGGACAUAAAACUUACCCAGAAUAUAAGAGCAGCGUCACAGGUGCUAGCAAAUGUCAGAUUUAUUAACAGAGCAACCAAAUGCAAAAUGCUCUUUUAGCCGGGAAAUGCCUAAUAGAGCACCACAACUGAAAGAACAAUGAAAUCGUUAGGUUUUUUUUUCCAAAUAAGCAAAAAUCCAAAAUAAAAAUUGAAAGACAACCAUUAUAAAAUACACCUUAGCUGAAUAACAUCUGUUCCGCAGCGAUCUGAUGACGGGCCGCGACCAAAACGGGUUGGAAAUCGGCCAAAGUUCAGCCACAACCCAAAAAUCUCAGACAGAAAAAAAAAGAAUAACACUCUGAAUUAUUGACCCCCCGAUCGCAACUUUGGAAACCUUGGAAACCACUUUUUUGUGGGGAAGAAGACUCUCGAAGUCGAGAGAAUAAGGAUGGCGGACACGCGGACAACAUGGGUAAAAACGUCUUUUCGGCGUACGAAGCAGGCCAAACAAAGGAAAACAAAUGAUUGACCCAGGGGCAGUUCCGCCCUUUCACUAUUUCUGAACAGUGCCGGUUUCAACUGAGUUUUAGUAUAUAUAAUUUUGGAGGGGGUUGAUCCUAUGUCCCAUCC